rfam:Pseudomonas caspiana strain FBF102 scaffold00031, whole genome shotgun sequence.
CGCCGGCCGGAAUUCGAUAUUGCUGUGUGGGGUGAACCGGCAGGGAUGCCGGUUUAGUCGCCUCAGGCCAUGGAUGGCCGGUGGCGGCGGCCCCACGCAGCAAUGUCGGAUUACGGGUACAC